rnacentral:rRNA from 1 species
GAUGAACGCUGGCUACAGGCUUAACACAUGCAAGUCGAGGGGAAACGACGGGGAAGCUUGCUUCCCCGGGCGUCGACCGGCGCACGGGUGAGUAACGCGUAUCCAACCUGCCUCUGACUGAGGGAUAACCCGUCGAAAGUCGGCCUAAUACCUCAUGGCAUCGUCUGCGGGCAUCCAACGACGAUUAAAGAUUUCAUCGGUCAGGGAUGGGGAUGCGUCUGAUUAGCUUGCUGGCGGGGUAACGGCCCACCAAGGCUACGAUCAGUAGGGGUUCUGAGAGGAAGGUCCCCCACAUUGGAACUGAGACACGGUCCAAACUCCUACGGGAGGCAGCAGUGAGGAAUAUUGGUCAAUGGGCGGGAGCCUGAACCAGCCAAGUAGCGUGCAGGAUGACGGCCCUAUGGGUUGUAAACUGCUUUUAUGCGGGGAUAAAGUGAGGGACGUGUCCUUCAUUGCAGGUACCGCAUGAAUAAGGACCGGCUAAUUCCGUG